rnacentral:rRNA from 1 species
UGGGGAAUAUUGCACAAUGGGCGCAAGCCUGAUGCAGCAACGCCGCGUGAAGGAUGAAGGGUUUCGGCUCGUAAACUUCUAUCGAUGGGGACAAUAAUGAUGGUACCCAAGUAAGAAGCCCCGGCUAACUACGUGCCAGCAGCCGCGGUAAUACGUAGGGGGCAAGCGUUAUCCGGAAUUAUUGGGCGUAAAGGGUGAGUAGGCGGUUGUUCAAGUCAUGUGUGAAAUGCCAGCGCUUAACGUUGGAUUUGCACAAGAAACUGGAUGACUAGAGUACAGGAGAGGUAAGCGGAAUUCCUAGUGUAGCGGUGAAAUGCGUAGAUAUUAGGAAGAACACCGGUGGCGAAGGCGGCUUACUGGACUGAAACUGACGCUGAAUCACGAAAGCGUGGGGAGCAAACA